GUUCGUUGUAUAUUUGAUCAUACCUUGUAAAGACACUUACGAAAGAGGACAUCAGAGCUGCUUCCGAAAGUGACAAGAAUGUUAAGCUCUUGGGCCGCGACCAGUCUCCAUGUGGAUCCGAGGACAAAAACCUUCAAGAGAACCCAAACCCUCCUUCCCUUUUUACUGCCACAGCCUGCAGCAAAUGUUGGCAUCUGUGAAGUGCUGCUCGUUCACUCUGGACAGCCUGGUGUCUCUCCCAUC
rnacentral:lncRNA from 1 species